rnacentral:rRNA from 1 species
UUUACCUACGGGGCGCAGCCGUCGGGCCUCUUUCUCCCUUUUUGCCACCCUGAAGCAGCAACGCCGCGUGGAGGAUGAAGGUUUUCGGAUUGUAAACUCCUUUUGUUAGAGAAGAUAAUGACGGUAUCUAACGAAUAAGCACCGGCUAACUCCGUGCCAGCAGCCGCGGUAAUACGGAGGGUGCAAGCGUUACUCGGAAUCACUGGGCGUAAAGAGCGCGUAGGCGGGAUAGUAAGUCAGAUGUGAAAUCCUAUGGCUUAACCAUAGAACUGCAUUUGAAACUGUUAUUCUAGAGUAUGGGAGAG